AAGAGAAAAUGCUUCAUUAUUUGUUGCUCGCUUAACAGAACUUUUAUACUUUGUUUGUAAUAACUAUAGUAAGUCCCACAUCGCUUACAUGAAUGAGGUUUACAGUGUUUAUAUAACGCUACAGAACACAAUAGCUUGUCCCUUCGGGGACAUCCGAUAAAAUUGGAACGAUACAGAGAAGAUUAGCAUGGCCCCUGCGCAAGGAUGACACGCACAAAUCGAGAAAUGGUCCAAAUUUUUUUGCCAUUUUUUUCUGAGAUUUCUUCUUCUCGUUUGUUAAUGUUCAACCUUUAUUCUGUUAUAUCUCAGCUGCAAUUAGUUCUUUUUUCAGUUCUCAAAAUGGAUCCCAUAUUUGCCAUCGAAUUGAAAAUGGAAUGUGGAUACUGGAUGGCUCUUUGUGAGGUAAACCAGGAAAGGCAGAUUAUUAGCUUCUUGGAGGGGUGUUGAGAAAUGAAUACGGUUCCAUUCUUGCAAGAUUUUCAGCUUCUGUUGGAAUAAGAGACUCUGACGGGGCGGAAUACUUAGCGAUUGUGUUUGCUUUGGAGGUUUCAGCAGAUUAUCUUCACUUAUUUCCUGAUUGUCUUUGUUAAAAUUUCUUUUACUCAUGUCAAUAGGGAAGCCAAUUCCAUUGCAGAUGCUCCAGCUAAGGAAGGUUCAAACAUAAAAGGCAGAUGGAUCUCUUGGACAUAUAUUAAUGGAAGCAGUGUCAACAAAUGAAUUGAGGACUAAUGUAUUUUUACUGCUGAACUGUCUCUAUAGGUGCCUUGAUUAUGCACAUCUCGCUGCUGCUGCAGUUAUUAGCAUUUUGAAUUGAUGAGUUGAAGAUGGUUUCAUGGAUAUAUAUUGGGUACCGGUUUCUGGAGUAUUUUCUGCUGUACUGAAGUUGGGCAUCAGGAUUGUCAAUCAUAUUUGCUUGUGUUGGCCUGAUGGUGCUUAUAAUAUUGCUUGCUGCGCAUCGGUGUGUAUGCCUUGUGCUGUUGUGUCCUCAACAAGGGAUAAAGUGCUACCUCUGUGUCUUCUGCUGUCUGUCCCGAAGUGUGAUUGCAUCACAUGGAAAAUGCAGAGUGAAUUAGUCUACUAUUACACUGGAUUCAUCAUUGUAUGAAUGGAAGAAAGAAAAAUUAAGGUGUGCCAAAGGAGAAACUGUCAAGUGAAGUAUAGUUUGUUGCUAGGUGAUGCUGCAAUGUGAAUGCAAGCUAGAAAUUGGAGUGAGGCAGUUAAGUAUAAAUUUUUUUCUUUAAAAGGAUAUAUGUGAUACCUAUUUUGCGCCAAAGAUACGGCUCAAGAUGCUGCUAGAUAUUGCACAGAUUUUAGCCUAUAUUAAGUACUUUUGUGUUGAUGUUGUAAAAACCAUUAUAAAUGUAAUUUGCUUUUGUCUGGGUGUCUAGUAUGUGAUAGUGUAGGCCUUUUGCAACCAUUCAUAGAAGGUCGGUACGUGAUGUUGUACCAGACGUUCCUAUUAUUAAUGAAAUCUUUUUAUUCAUCAAAAACAAAGUUCUGCAGAUACGCACUUCAGGGAGUAAAUAGUAGAAUUUGAAAAAGAAAAUGGUACAAUUGACAGUAGUAAGCAGGAAAAAUGAGAUGGCGGCGAGGAAAAUGAAGGGGCUGAAAAAGUGAGUCUCGAUGUUGAAGAUAUUAAGGAAGAAGGUGAACUUGUUCAGGAGGCAAUAAGCAGGAAAAACCAGGUGCUAAGGAAAAUGAAGGAGGUUAAAGUGAGUCUCAAUGUCGAAGAUAUUAAUGGUAAGAAUGAAAUUCCAGCAACCGAUGAAAAAUAAACAAUUCAAGGUGAGGAACAAGUGAAGAAAAUGGUUGACAAUGACGGUGUUAUUUGGAGCUGUACUCAAUGUAGUAUAUUGUCAUUAGCAUUCAUCAGCCCUUAGUGUAAGCUACUGAUAUGCAUAUUAUUAAUACCUAGUGCCCUUAACUUUUUUUUUUUUUUGGUAUUGUUAUUCAAGAUGUUUUAGCCUAUGUAGCACCGAUAUUUUAGAUUGAAGGCUUGAAAACGUGUUCGGUGUCCAACAUAUUGACAUGACACAGACACAUGUGGCACAUUCAAUAAUUUCAUUUUCUCAAAUUGUUACCAGUGUCAUGUCACUGCUUCAUAGGUUUUAGUUAUUUUGUGACAUUCUAGAUGUGUCUGCAUUCUGUUUUAACAUUUGGUUGUAUUUUAAAUGUGCAUGCCUCUUAGUUAGAUUAGAUCUUUUGGUUUUCUGUAGUGCAUACCUGAAUGUAGAUUGUAGAAUUUUGUCACAUGUUUAUUAUGGAUUCUUGUUUUAAGACAUUGAAGAAAAGGGUAAAAGAGGUGCUGGUUAUUAUGUGUGGACUUCUAACUUGUUAAACAUUGAAUACUUUAAAAAUAGAUUUUCAUAUGCAAGUUUCAUAACUAGUGCCCUUGGAAAAUUCCAUAUUUGAUACAUUUGAACUUCCAACAACUGAUGUGAUAAAAGGUGAAUGGACUAGAUGAUAUGUUGAGCUUUUGCCGGUUUUGUCUUACUGAUAAUGUGAAAGUGAACCAAUGAUGCUGGAGUCCCUUGGUUUGGCACAAUCAUGUUUUUUGAGUCGGGGGUUGCAUAAUGGCAGCUAAUUAUGUUACACCAUAUCUGCAUGUUGGUUUUCUUGGAAUAUGUAAAUUGGUACUCAGGUUGCUUUGUUUGAGUGCUCGGUGAUGUAAUACUCUAGUGUUGAUUUGUUCUGCCUCUCCUCUAGCCGAAUUAGGCUUAUAAUUACAGAAUACAAUUAUAUUUGCAUGUGUUGAUCUGAUAUUGGUGCUUAUACUAUCGGUGUGCAUGCCUUGUGCUUCUGUGAUCUGGGAUCUUUGCACCGGAUCUUCGACAAGGGGAGAAAAUGGUAUUUUGGGUGCUUUAUAAGACUGGAAAUAAAUUGGAAGGUGCGAGGUGUGAAGUAAAGUGCUACCUCUGUGUCUUCUGUUGUCUGUCCAGAUUCCAUCACAUGAAAAAUUAAGGAGUGCCAAAGGAGUAAGUGUCAAGUGAAGUAUAAUGUGUUGCUAGGUGGUGCUGCUAUGUGAAGGCAAGUUAGAUAUUGGAGUGAGGCAGUUAAAGUAUGUGAUUCUUUUCAUGAAAUGUAUAUAUGUGAUGCCUAUUUUGUGCCAAAUAUAAGGCUUGUGAUGCUGCUAAAUAUUGCGCAGAUUGUAGCCUCUAUAUUAAGUUCUUUUCUGUUGAAGUUGUAAAAACUAAUAUUCUUGUGAUGCUGCUAGAUAUUGCGCAGAUUGUAGCC